rnacentral:lncRNA from 1 species
UGUUUGUCAUGAUACCAGUUCACCUUGACUUGGUUUUGCUUUGUUGUCAUGUCACUGCAGAAGCAGCCAUCGAAGGAGGAGGCCUUUAGAGGAAAUGCUGAGAUCAGUCCCAAGCACUUGACCAAGUCACUGACCAAGGACAGUGUCAGCAGAAGAUGCCAUCAUCUGUGACACAGAAUCUCUGCAGAUAAGGGGAAGCUCAUCCUUGCAGUUUGUUCCGUUCAUAAACUCUGCAACAAAGCACAGACAGUAAUGCCCAGGAUGUGUGUUUUCAGCUCCAAUGACAAGAUGUCAGUAAUUGAAGAGAUGAUUUUAUACCCUUUAGUGAGCUGAGUGGGUGGGAAGAAGCAAUUGAUUGGGAAUUUCUUUCAGUAUUUAUGGUCCUCGUUAAGAAAUCAUACCCUUGGCUGGUGUUGUGGCUUUAUUGAUUUCAGUAGCACGUCUUUGCAUUAUGUUACUUCAGAUGGGUUAACUUGCUCCUAUUUCUGAGAUUGUAGCUAAUUAUUCAUUGUCUUGCUUGAACAAGCCAUUGCAUACAAAUUUAAGAAUUAU